rnacentral:rRNA from 1 species
UACCGAGUUUACAACUCCCAAACCCAAUGUGAACGUUACCAAACUGUUGCCUCGGCGGGGUCACGCCCCGGGUGCGUCGCAGCCCCGGAACCAGGCGCCCGCCGGAGGAACCAACCAAACUCUUUCUGUAGUCCCCUCGCGGACGUAUUUCUUACAGCUCUGAGCAAAAAUUCAAAAUGAAUCAAAACUUUCAACAACGGAUCUCUUGGUUCUGGCAUCGAUGAAGAACGCAGCGAAAUGCGAUAAGUAAUGUGAAUUGCAGAAUUCAGUGAAUCAUCGAAUCUUUGAACGCACAUUGCGCCCGCCAGUAUUCUGGCGGGCAUGCCUGUCCGAGCGUCAUUUCAACCCUCGAACCCCUCCGGGGGAUCGGCGUUGGGGAUCGGGACCCCUCACACGGGUGCCGGCCCCGAAAUACAGUGGCGGUCUCGCCGCAGCCUCUCCUGCGCAGUAGUUUGCACAACUCGCACCGGGAGCGCGGCGCGUCCACGUCCGUAAAACACCCAACUUUCUGAAAUGUUGACCUCGGAUCAGGUAGGAAUACCCGCUGAACUUAAGCAUAUCAAUAAGCGGAGGAAAAGAAACCAACCGUCC